rnacentral:rRNA from 1 species
CUACGGGUCGCAGCAGUGGGGAAUAUUGGACAAUGGGGGAAACCCUGAUCCAGCAAUGCCGCGUGUGUGAAGAAGGCCUGCGGGUUGUAAAGCACUUUCGGUUGGGAGGUCUGCUUCUAGCACUAAUAUUGUUGGAAGUUGACGUUACCUUCAGAAGAAGCACCGGCUAACUCCGUGCCAGCAGCCGCGGUAAUACGGGGGGUGCAAGCGUUAAUCGGAAUUACUGGGCGUAAAGCGCGCGUAGGCGGCUAGAUCAGUCGGGUGUGAAAGCCCCGGGCUUAACCUGGGAACUGCAUCCGAUACUGUCUAGCUUGAGUACAGGAGAGGAGAGUGGAAUUCCACAUGUAGCGGUGAAAUGCGUAGAUAUGUGGAGGAACACCAAUGGCGAAGGCAGCUCUCUGGCCUGAUACUGACGCUGAGGUGCGAAAGCGUGGGGAGCAAACAGGAUUAGAUACCCUUGUAGUC